rnacentral:rRNA from 1 species
AUGUAUUAGCGGCGAACGGGUGAGGAACACGUGAAGAAUCUGCCCUCCACUUUGGGAUAACACCGGGAAACCGGUGCUAAUACCGAAUAUUGAAACAUAAGUGGCAUCACUGAGUUUUGAAAGAAUUUCGGUGGAGGAUGACUUCGCGGCCUAUCAGCUAGUUGGUGAGGUAAUGGCUCACCAAGGCAACGACGGGUAGCCGGCCUGAGAGGGCGACCGGCCACACUGGGACUGAGACACGGCCCAGACUCCUACGGGAGGCAGCAGUGGGGAAUAUUGGGCAAUGGAGGAAACUCUGACCCAGCGACGCCGCGUGCGGGAUGAAGGCCUUCGGGUUGUAAACCGCUUUCAGUAGGGAAGAAGCGAAAGUGACGGUACCUACAAAAGAAGCACCGGCUAACUAUGUGCCAGCAGCCGCGGUAAUACAUAGGGUGCAAGCGUUGUCCGGAAUUAUUGGGCGUAAAGAGCUCGUAGGUCGUUUGUUACGUCGGAUGUGAAAACCUGAGGCUCAACCUCAG